CACGGACUGAUUUGGGGCGUGUUCUUUUAUAAAGAGUGUGUGUGACCCGUCCUAUAUGCUAUUUAUACAAUCCAUGUCUACGCAACGUUUGUAAUGUCAGUAUUUUGAGAAUACUCGCACAGACUGGUCUUUAAACAUUGUAUAUUGUAAGAAGUCGACCAUGGCGACGUUCCCACCGCCGGACAACUUUGAUUUCAGUCAUCGGGAGUUCUGGCCUGAGUGGAGGCGGAGGAUCCAGCUACAGAACGGCGACCGAGCUCGACAAAGACGAGGAAGUGCUUGCGUGGACCGUGUUGUGUUAGUUGGGAGGAAAGCGGUAAAUUAAUUUAAUGUGAUUCAUGAGAGGGCAAGAAUCCACCAGGGGACCCAGGGUGAAAAUGUGGAGGGAUCUUUGGUGCCGGGAAGAAUGAGAAUGAGACAGAUCUUGUGGUCGGUGUCCUGGACACAGAAUUGUCACAGAAAUUGUAAAUAAUGUCGGAUUUAAGCUCGGAGAAGGCGUGCAGACAAGCUAGACAGUCGGAAAGAUCAAGAUUGAGAUCAGAGACACAGCCUGGUGUGAGGUGAAGCAAACAUGGAAAUCUCUGUGAAGCUCUCUCUUGUUGACUAUUCAUUUUGGUUUGUACUUGUCUUCGUCCUAACUUGCACUUGAGAUUUCCACUUGCCGGGUGGUUUACCACGAGGUCCCAGGAGUCAACCAAUUUGAAAAAGAACUACGGGACCACUUCUUUGAUGUCCCACCAAUCACAACCUCUGUUUCAUAUCCAAUAGACAUUCAACAACAACACAAUAACAAUUGUUGUGAUUGGCUUACAAAAUUAACCCUGUAUAGUACUCAUAAGCUGAAGUGUCCCACUCAACCUGAAUUCACCUGUUAUUGUGAUUAUAAAACAUAAUUUUUAAAAUACGUAAGCUGUUUUUAAAUAGGCCUAUAUAACUGUGGUACUAAAACACUGUUUUGUCGUGAAAUGUGGCCCCCGUGGGUCCGUGUGUUAAUUUACCCUAAAUCACACGUCUGACGAAGAAUUUCAAGCAAAUAAAUUAAGAGUGGUUUAUUUGGAUUUCACUACAUUAUAACGUUAAUUGUAAUACGUUAUUAAUAACAUUGGCCAUAAUUAGCCUAUUAAGGAAUUUUGUGUGUGUGUGUAUAUAUAUAUAUAUAUAUAAAUACACUAUACACACACACAUUGGUAUAUUAGUAGAAAAUCAGCAGUUUCAAUCUCGGGGCGGAGACGUCUAUUCUUAACAGCUUACAAUAAAAUAAAACCGACCGCAAUUGAAUUUUUGGGUAACAAUAAUUUACUGCCAUGAAAAACGCAGUGAGAUUUUUAUCUGUAUGUGCUGAUCUAAAAAAUGUGAGUUUGUAGCCUAAUGUUCCUGAAAAUGUUGUGUAGCCUAUUUCAUCAUGAGUCGUAGUAAAAAUCUGGUACAGUAGGUGGCGGUAUGCACCUAAACAAGGCGGUUUGCGACCCGCCAUAAACCCAGAAGAAGAAUGUACUUCCUGUAGUUUGGUGCAUCCCGAACUAACCCGACUGGGACUACAACACCUUGAUUUAUACAGUUUUGGUUUUACUCCGCACGUUGUAACGCUAACCUUACAGAGUAACAUCAUUUCCCUGUUAGCUGAAAACAGAGAGCCUCAUGCCAUUUGCCCAAAUUCGAGAAUCCAGGCGCUGGAAGGUGAUACGGUCACUCUACCAUGUUAUCUGGUCCCUGCACGCAGCGUGGUGGAUCGUACUUUCGAUUGGAAAAGAGUUGACCUCAACAAGGUGGUCUACGCGUACCGGCACAAGCAGGAAAAUCCCAAUGACCAGAUGGCUCAUUACAGAGGCAGGACUACUGUUAACCUUGAUGACCUGAGCAGAGGAAACAUGACUCUGCAGAUCUCCUCAGUGCAGCUGGCUGACACAGGACCGUACAGCUGUUUUGUCCCAAAACUGGAGACCAGUUGUGUUACUGAUCUCACUGUUGUUGAGCAAGUGACCAGCACAACUAGACCUCCGCCAGAUGAACCGAGCAAUCCUGAUGGGGACAACAGGCAGCUUAUUGCCAUUGUCCCUUCCACUGUCGUUGGGAUUGUCAUCAUUAUCUGCGUUCUCGUCGGGGUUCUGGUGAGACGUGGAAUGAUCUAGAAAUAUAUGAUGAGACUCAGAGGAAGGACGGAGCAAAAGGUGGCGACGGCUGUGAGCUGAAACAUCUGAGGUCUUCAUCAACAAACGAUGGCCCUGAUGACCGUGAUGCCGACCUGGACCCUGAUGGCCCUGAUGACCGUGAUGCCGACCUGGACCCUGAUAGCCCUGAUGACCGUGAUGCCGACCUGGACCCUGAUGGUCCUGAUGACCGUGAUGCUGAAUGCUGACCUGGACCCUGAUGGUCCUGAUGACCGUGAUGCUGACCUGGACCCUGAUGGUCCUGAUGACCGUGAUGCUGACCUGGACCCUGAUGGCCCUGAUGACCGUGAUGCUGAAUGCUGACCUGGACCCUGAUGGCCCUGAUGACCGUGAUGCUGACCUGGACCCUGAUGGUCCUGAUGCAAACAACUUAAACAACGUGCAAAUAGUACAGUGUUGGUCCGGACUUUGUUUGUCUGUGAUUGGCUGUCGAAAAUUAGCGCAGAUGACUGAACCCUUUUUAAGUCACAAGAUAAAGUAUUUUUUUUAAGGAUAUCUUUUAUAAAUAUAUAUUUUUUUAAAGCUCACCAAAAAUCUUUGCAUUAUGGAAUCAGGGACCUUAUCCACAUGGUUCAUUUGUUUUGUAAUUGCAUCACUUUGUCAUAUACAUACUUUAACAUUUAACUCUUUAAAAUUUUUUCUUAACUCUUAACAUGUUUUUUAUCUUGGCAGGGUAGGAUCUGUACAAAAUCAUUAAAGGGAGCCUGACUGUAGACCAGCAGUACAAGUUUUAUUUUGGUCGUAUGCUUUAAUCUUUCUAUGUAGCCUAUAAUGUAUGUGUAUACAUGGUUGCUGAUGUACUGUAUUUGUAUUUGCAUUUGUGUAUCAUAUCUGUGAAGCACUGUGUGACUGGCUCUUAAAAAGCAUGAUUUAAAUCAAGAAUAAAAGUAUUAUUAUUAUUAUUA